CCUACGGGAGGCAGCAGUGAGGAAUAUUGGUCAAUGGUCGGGAGACUGAACCAGCCAAGCCGCGUGAGGGAUGAAGGUACAGAGUAUCGUAAACCUCUUUUGUCAGGGAACAAAGGCGGGGACGUGUCCCCGGAUGAGUGUACCUGAAGAAAAAGCAUCGGCUAACUCCGUGCCAGCAGCCGCGGUAAUACGGAGGAUGCGAGCGUUAUCCGGAUUUAUUGGGUUUAAAGGGUGCGCAGGCGGUCUGUUAAGUCAGCGGUAAAAGCCCGGGGCUCAACCCCGGCCCGCCGUUGAAACUGGCAGUCUCGAGUUGGAGAGAAGUAUGCAGAAUGCGCGGUGUAGCGGUGAAAUGCAUAGAUAUCGCGCAGAACUCCGAUUGCGAAGGCAGCAUGCCGGCUCCACACUGACGCUGAGGCACGAAAGCGUGGGUAUCGAACAGGAUUAGAUACCCUAGUAGUC
rnacentral:rRNA from 1 species